rnacentral:rRNA from 1 species
AUCCAGACUCCUACGGGAGGCAGCAGUGGGGAAUAUUGCACAAUGGGGGGAACCCUGAUGCAGCGACGCCGCGUGGGCGAAGAAGUAUUUCGGUAUGUAAAGCCCUAUCAGCAGGGAAGAAGAAAUGACGGUACCUGAGUAAGAAGCACCGGCUAAAUACGUGCCAGCAGCCGCGGUAAUACGUAUGGUGCAAGCGUUAUCCGGAUUUACUGGGUGUAAAGGGAGCGCAGGCGGCACGGCAAGCCUGAUGUGAAAGCCCGCGGCCCAACCGCGGGACUGCAUUGGAAACUACCGGGCUGGAGUGCCGGAGAGGUAGGCGGAAUUCCUAGUGUAGCGGUGAAAUGCGUAGAUAUUAGGAGGAACACCAGUGGCGAAGGCGGCCUGCUGGACGACAACUGACGGUGAGGCGCGAAAGCGUGGGGAGCAAACAGGAUUAGAUACCCCCGUA